UACGAAUGGGGCUAGCGUUGCUCGGAAUUACUGGGCGUAAAGCGCACGUAGGCGGAUCGUUAAGUCGGGGGUGAAAUCCUGGAGCUCAACUCCAGAACUGCCUUCGAUACUGGCGAUCUUGAGUCCGGGAGGGGUGAGUGGAACUGCGAGUGUAGAGGUGAAAUUCGUAGAUAUUCGCAAGAACACCAGUGGCGAAGGCGGCUCACUGGCCCGGUACUGACGCUGAGGUGCGAAAGCGUGGGGAGCAAACAGG
rnacentral:rRNA from 1 species